UUUUCUAUCCUACAUACUAAUGUGGAUGAAAAUAUGAAAAUGUGAAUCUAUGUUUGUUGUUUAUGUAAAUGAUGUUAUCUUGCCAUAAAUGAUUUGUUUUAUGCCUAUCUGUUUGGUUGGAAUGUAAGAAUCGAAUUCGGGUCCAAGUGAGGGUGGUGUCCCUACUCGGAUUAGUGUACACAAGUGGCCGUGAAAGGUGGCCACCUUCCACGGGUCACAAAUAAAGUUAUGGAGGCCGUGGGAGGUGGCCACCUCCCCGGCUGGAGAAAAAGGUAGGUGACCGUGAGAGAGCACCAUCUCCACGGCACUUGGUGUUCAGAUAUGGCAAACGUAUAAAAAGAACUUAGACUGAUCAGUCGAACUUUAGCUCACAAAGAAUUUAGUUGAGCAGUGACGGUGGAGAAUGCUGAGCAAAGUUGAUGAUUUCUUUUUUUUAUUUUAAGUAGAGGCUCUCAGUGGUGCAUGUCUCCAUACAUGUUACCGUAUUCAUUCCGCUGCUUAUUGUUCUUCUAUACUCCGAUAAAUAAUUAUUGAAUACUAAGAUUUUCAUUCAA